UGUCAAAUCAUCUUCUUCCUCAUGCUGAAAACGAGCAAGCUGUGCUCUGACGGCAUCAUCAGAGCAGAGCUGCCAAAAAUCGCCAUCCCUGUGCUGCUCCCUGUCAAAUCUGGGUGUUCGUGAGCUCGGAGACGGUGGCCGCUGUCAGCCAUGGACUCAUCAGAAGGAAGAGGGGAGGGGGAUGUGGGUAGUACCUGGAAAUCCUCGGAGGCGACGCCGAGUCGCGGACGCCGUUGGGGAGCUUGGUGAUGCGGGUGGGGACGACGCCCGGGGGGAGGUCCAGCCCGGGUAGGAGGCGUAGGAGCAAGGUCGAGCACGCCGCGGAGGCCGUAUGGUCGCCGGACAGGCACCGCUCGCCGUAUUGGCUGCUUCCGCCCCUGGACCUCGCGGAGCCCGUGCAGUCGCUGCGCCUCGCCGUAUUGGCUGCUGCUGCACUUUGAUCUCAUGGCGCUCGUGCGGGCGCGGCGCCUCGCCGUAUUGGCCACCUCCCUCGCGGCGCUCGUGCGGGCGCGGCUCCCGCGCUGACCUCGCGGCGCUCGUGAGGCGCCUCGCCGAGGAGGGGGCAGCAGGGCAGCUGCAGUGGAGGAGGGGAUGGAAAGGGGAAAGGGAAUAGGCGGACGACUGGGCUUUCCAGAAAAGGAAAAAAAAC
rnacentral:lncRNA from 1 species